AGAGUUUGAUCCUGGCUCAGGAUGAACGCUGGCGGCGUGCCUAACACAUGCAAGUCGAGCGAAGCGCCUUACUUGAUUUCUUCCGGAUGAAAGUAUUGUGACUGAGGGGGAGACGGGUGAGUAACGCCUGCAUAGCCUGCCGCGAUCACGGGGAUAACCCUUAGAAAUGACUGCUUAUACCUCAUAAGACCACGGCACCGCAUGGAGCAAGGGCAAAAACUCCGGCGGUAUGAGAUGGAUCCGCGUCUGAUUAGCUAGUGUGGUAAGGUAACGGCUUACCAAGGCAACAAUCAGUACCCAACCUGAAAGGGUGACCGGCCACAUGGGGACUGAAACACGGCCCAAACUCCUACGGAAGGCAGCAGUGGGGAAUAUUGCACAAUGGGGGAAACCAUGAUGCAGCGAUGCCGCGUGAGCGAUGAAGUAUUUCGGUAUGUAAAGCUGUAUCAGCAGGGAAGAUAAUGGCGCUACCUGAGUAAGAAGCACCGGAUAAAUACGUACCAGCAGCCGCGGUAAUAAGUAUGGUGCAAGCGUUAUCAGGAUUUACUGGGUGUAAAGGGAGAGUAGAUUCAUGGGCUAGUAUGAUGUGAAAACCCGGGGCUCAACCCCGGGUCUGCAUUGGAAACUGUUCAUGUAGAGUGAUGGAGAGGUAAGAGGAAUUCCUAGUGUAGCGGUGAAAUGAGUAGAUAUUAGGAGGAACACCAGUAGAGAAGGCGGUUUUGUGGACUGUAACCGACGAUGAGGCAAGAAAGCGUGGGGAGCCAACAGGAUUAGAUACCCUGGUACUCCCCGCUGUAAACGAUGAGUAAUAGGUGUCGGAGGUUACCCCCUUAGGUGCCGCAGCUAACGCAUUAAGUUCUCCGCGGGGGAGUAGGCAGGCAAGUGUGAAACUCAAGGGAAUUGACGGGGACCCGCACAAGUAGGGGAGCAUGUGGUUUAAUUGGAAGCAACGCGAAGACCCUUACCUAGGCUUGACAUCCUUGUGACCGAGGACUAAUCUCCUCUUUCCCUCCGGGGACAGAAGUGACAGGUGGUGCAUGGUUGUCGUCAGCUCGUGUCGUGAGAUGUUGGGUUAAGUCCCGCAACGAGCGCAACCCUUGUCUUUAGUUGCCAUCAUUAAGUUGGGCACUCUAGAGAGACUGCCAGGGAUAACCUGGAGGAAGGUGGGGAUGACGUCAAAUCAUCAUGCCCCUUAUGCCUAGGGCUACACACGUGCUACAAUGGGUGGUACAGAGGGCAGCCAAGCCGUGAGGUGGAGCAAAUCCCUUAAAGCCAUUCUCAGUUCGGAUUAUAGGCUGUAACUCGCCUACAUGAAGCUGGAGUUACUUGUAAUCGCAGAUCAGCAUGCUGCGGUGAAUGCG
rnacentral:rRNA from 1 species